rnacentral:rRNA from 1 species
GGAUGGACCCGCGGCGCAUUAGCUAGUUGGUAAGGUAACGGCUUACCAAGGCAAUGAUGCGUAGCCGAACUGAGAGGUUGAUCGGCCACAUUGGGACUGAGACACGGCCCAAACUCCUACGGGAGGCAGCAGUAGGGAAUCUUCCACAAUGGGCGAAAGCCUGAUGGAGCAACGCCGCGUGGGUGAAGAAGGUCUUCGGAUCGUAAAACCCUGUUGUUAGAGAAGAAAGUGCGUGAGAGUAACUGUUCACGUUUCGACGGUAUCUAACCAGAAAGCCACGGCUAACUACGUGCCAGCAGCCGCGGUAAUACGUAGGUGGCAAGCGUUAUCCGGAUUUAUUGGGCGUAAAGGGAACGCAGGCGGUCUUUUAAGUCUGAUGUGAAAGCCUUCGGCUUAACCGGAGUAGUGCAUUGGAAACUGGGAGACUUGAGUGCAGAAGAGGAGAGUGGAACUCCAUGUGUAGCGGUGAAAUGCGUAGAUAUAUGGAAGAACACCAGUGGCGAAAGCGGCUCUCUGGUCUGUAACUGACGCUGAGGUUCGAAAGCGUGGGUAGCAAACAGGAUUAGAUACCCUGGUAGUCCACGCCGUAAACGAUGAAUGCUAAGUGUUGGAGGGUUUCCGCCCUUCA